rfam:Felis catus isolate Cinnamon breed Abyssinian chromosome F1, whole genome shotgun sequence.
GCCUGGGUGGCUCAGUCGGUUGAGCGUCCGACUUUGGCUCAGGUCACAAUCUCAUGGUCCGUGGGUUCAAGCCCCGCAUUGGGCU